rnacentral:tRNA from 1 species
GCGUCUGUAGCUCAGUUGGAUAGAGCACAAGAUUCCGAUUCUUGGUGUCGCGGGUUCAAAUCCUGUCAGACGUGCCA